CAAUGGGCGCAAGCCUGAUCCAGCCAUGCCGCGUGCGGGAAGAAGGCCUUCGGGUUGUAAACCGCUUUUGUCAGGGAAGAAAAGGUUCUGGCUAAUACCUGGGACUCAUGACGGUACCUGAAGAAUAAGCACCGGCUAACUCCGUGCCAGCAGCCGCGGUAAUACGGAGGGGGUUAGCGUUGUUCGGAAUUACUGGGCGUAAAGCGUACGUAGGCGGGCUAUUAAGUUAGGGGUGAAAUCCCGGGGCUCAACCCCGGAACUGCCUCUAAUACUGGUAGUCUAGAGUUCGAGAGAGGUGAGUGGAAUUCCGAGUGUAGAGGUGAAAUUCGUAGAUAUUCGGAGGAACACCAGUGGCGAAGGCGGCUCACUGGCUCGAUACUGACGCUGAGGUGCGAAAGUGUGGGGAGCAAACAGGAUUAGAUACCCUGGUAGUCCACACCGUAAACGCUGUCUACUAGCUGUGUGUGCCUUUAAGGCGUGCGUAGCGAAGCUAACGCGCUAAGUAGACCGCCUGGGGAGUACGGCCGCAAGGUUAAAACUCAAAUGAAUUGACGGGGGCCCGCACAAGCGGUGGAGCAUGUGGUUUAAUUCGAUGCAACGCGAAGAACCUUACCUACACUUGACAUGUUGAGAAGUUACCAGAGAUGGUUUCGUGCCUUCGGGAACUCAAACACAGGUGCUGCAUGGCUGUCGUCAGCUCGUGUCGUGAGAUGUUCGGUUAAGUCCGGCAACGAGCGCAACCCACAUCCUUAGUUGCCAGC
rnacentral:rRNA from 1 species